UACGAAGGGGGCGAGCGUUGUUCGGAUUUACUGGGCGUAAAGGGCGCGCAGGCGGCUCAUUUUGUCAGGCGUGAAAGCCCCGGGCUUAACCUGGGAACUGCGUUUGAUACGGAUGGGCUAGAGUUCGGGAGAGGAGAGUGGAAUCCCAGUGUAGAGGUGAAAUUCGUAGAUAUUGGGAAGAACACCGGUGGCGAAGGCGGCGCUCUGGACCGAGACUGACGCUGAGGCGCGAAAGCGUGGGGAGCAAACAGG
rnacentral:rRNA from 1 species